GUUUCUUCCCGAAUCAGUCUCGUGGUGUGGUUGGCAAGUUUAAUACAACAACAUUUUUUCAAAAAAUAUCGAAUACUCUUUCCGUUUUGGGUUGUCGUUUCAAAGUAAGUUAUCCUGAAAUGUUAUAUGUUUAUAUUUAUCUUGAAUUGCUAUAGGUUUUACAGUAAUAUAUAUCGACUGUAUUUACACAGGCCUUAAAAUAUCGGUCGGUCACGGACAUUGUCCGACCCAUUCGUGAAAUUGUCCGACGUAGAAAGGAAACCACCGGACAUUCUGUCCGACCAAAGUGAAACUGAGGUUUAUUGUUUGUCCGACCCGAGUGUAUUGGUGUCCGACCGAACUGUAGCUUUGUCCGACGUAAGUCAAAAUACACCCUAGCCCAGGACUAGAGGUUUGUAUGUUAAAUGGAAAUCAGAGUACUAUUGUAUAAAAGGUCAACUGGAAAUGUUGUUUUAACAUAGACGAACGCGGGGCGGCGAGCGAAAUGGUGAAGUGGAAAACUGGCUUAAGUUGUCGAAGUCUUUUUUAAUACUGCUGUUCUGGAAAGCAAGUUAAUUUUGGCUUGGAAAUAAGUAUGAAAGAAACAAAUUAUUUAAUAUCUUUACAAAAUUUACCGUUUAUUAAUUUGUGUCAUUCAGACUUAUUUCCGAGUCAAAACUGAACUGAAGGUCAUCGGACAUAUGUCCGACCCAAACUCAACGUCACCGGACAUUUUGUCAGACGGCCCUGUAAAAGAUAUUUUAAGGCCUGAUUUACAUAUACAACAUUUCUGUCUACAGUAUUAAAUAUGAAGCAGUUAAUAUAUACAUCGACUGUACUUACAUUUACAACAUUUCUAUCCCUUCUAGGUGUAUAUUUUGGUGUGUGUUCGCGGGGAUCUUUUGGUCAAAUCAAAUCAAAGGGGACCGUUCAUUUUAUAUGUUUCAAAAGCAGUGAAGUGUGAGCUCGCUGUACUUGUAUUACCAAACUUGCUACUGCGAAGUGUGAUCUCGCUAUAAUAUUUAUACUAGCGAAGUGUGAUCUCGCUAGCUGGGCAGUCGUUGGCAAUAAUAAAGUUGUUUCGUGUUGUCAAAAUAUCAAGGUAUUGUGUAUCAAAAGUUACAAAUAUAUAGGUUGUGUGUCAAUAAGAAAAUUGCCAAUAAAAAUAGUUAAUAUAUAUUACAGUAAAAUGAUUAUGAUAUACAGUAAAGCCCCGCAUAAAAGUUCAGUGAAUUUUGACUUGCUUCACACAAUAUUUUUUUAUAUUCUACAUAUUAAAUAGGAACUGUUGUUGCAUAAAACUAUUGCUAUGACACUAAUAUGGUUGUUGUGACAUAUAUCCAAACUUAAAAAGUUUUUAAAAACUUGUAUUUUGGGUGCUUAAUUAAUUGCCAAAAUUUCAGACUAGUGGUUCUUAACCUACUGGUGGGGCUUUACUGUAUAUCAAAUAACUUAUGCAUAAUGAAGUCUCAAGGCUUGAUGCCUGCGAGAAAUACUGGUCUUAAUAGUCAUGACCUGGGACAAUUUCGAUAGUGGCCAUUUGCAAUUGUUUCAUUUUCCUGGGCGAUGACUACUAUUAAAUCGAGCAGUAUGAUGCCCACAUUGGAACACACAAUUGUAUAUAAUAAUGCUCACAAUUUCUUUCUUAUUUUAUAUAUAGUCAUUACAAAUAAUGGUCAUCUGAAGCUGAUGUAUUAAACAAAAAUGUCAACAAAAUAGAUUUUGUCUCCCGAUUGGCAGAUUCAUUGUUCAGUUGUUCUACAGUAGGGGUAGCCUUGAAGGUGCCACUAAAAUGAUACAGUAGUUGGGACAAAACUGACUUCAAAGGGCCUGUUCAUAUGGGCAAAAGUUAUCUCGGUUUAAGGCCCUGUUCACAUGAUCCCGGGAUAAACAACUGCCCCACGACAAGUCAUUGACCCAGGGUACUGAUAUCUUCUGUUCACAUGAAUAAAGCUAGCGCGCCGGGUCAUGCCUAUAAAUACAUUACGCGGGAAUCAUAAAAUAUUCCUGCCAACGGGAAAUGGUGAAAUAUUGCUAAAUAAAAAACAUUCUGAUAAAUGCAAGUCGUCGUUAUUUUUUGUUAUGGUAUUUACAAAUAGAACGUACUAGUUGAUUAUCAGCCGUACUAAAAUGUGCUCAAUUCAUUGUUUCUGGUUGACCAGAUCAAAUUCUUUGAGUAACAUACUACAUGAUGUUAGCAACAAUUUUAUUUCAAUAUUUUUAGAAUCAUCACUUAUAGAUUUCUAAUGAUAUCGUCAAUCAAAUAACAAGUUUUUGUGGAGUCCAACGUGCUCUAAAUGUAAUUUUAGCCACGAUUUUGAUCGUUUCACCAAAAUUCAAUUAUCCCGGGACAGUGUUCACAUGAGGAAAAGUUGUCCCAGCAAGGCGAGUGUCCCUGUCUAUAGAAGUGAGGCACUCGGGUC